rnacentral:rRNA from 1 species
UACAGAGGUCCCAAGCGUUGUUCGGAUUCAUUGGGCGUAAAGGGUGUGUAGGUGGCGCCGUAAGUCGGGUGUGAAAUUUCGGAGCUUAACUCCGAAACUGCAUUCGAUACUGCGGUGCUUGAGGACUGGAGAGGAGACUGGAAUUCCUGGUGUAGCGGUGAAAUGCGCAGAUAUCAGGAGGAACACCGGUGGCGAAGGCGGGUCUCUGGGCCGAUACUGACGCUGAGGAGCGAAAGCGUGGGGAGCGAACAGG